AGGGUCGAAGCGCCAACAACCUCUGAUGAUUGUUCGAUAACUGGGGGCACCCGGUUAGUUGGAGGCGGACGGUUAACUGGAGGUGGGCGGGGAUCUCUACUUGAUGAAGGGGCGUCAUCAAUAUCCUUUCUUGAAGACAUGAAAAUGGAUUUGCAAGGAGCGGGGACAUACAUAAUGCUUGAAAGGAAAACACAAACUUAGCUAAGUUAACAUCAAAGCACUAACUAAAGCAAUAAGACAAAAAAUACCAUACCAAAUGCCAAUUGGUCAAAAUCCUCAUGGCCAAGGAUCUCAAAAAGGCCGCGGGUAGAGAGGCGGCGGGGCAACCCAUUGAUGAUCCUCACGGCCUCCAAAUUCGUUGGGUUCAACAUGCCGACUGGAUAGGCUUUUAUUUUUCACGGAUUCCUUGUCCAAUAAAAGGAGAACAGGGGGCGUCUGACUUCAUCAUGGAAUUAUGAUCGGCUUGACUCUUUUAUUAUGACCUUGAAGUACUGGUCUUUAAAAUUCUUAAACGAAUCAGAAAUUUUUUUUAAAGAAACAGUUAUCCUUGACGGACGUUAAGGAUACCCAACCGCGCUUCGCAAGAGGGCGAACGUCGAAAUAAUGUAGGAAAAUGGGGACAAUAGGAAUUAUCCCCAGGGCAGAACACGUUGCC
rnacentral:lncRNA from 1 species